CCUACGGGGGGCUGCAGUCGAGAAUUUUUCACAAUGGGCGCAAGCCUGAUGGAGCGACGCCGCGUGGGGGAUGAAUGGCUUCGGCCCGUAAACCCCUGUCAUUUGCGAUCAAACCUUGCUAUUUAAAAGAUGGCGAGCUGAUAGUAGCGAAAGAGGAAGGGACGGCUAAAUCUGUGCCAGCAGCCGCGGUAAUACAGAGGUCCCAAGCGUGGUUCGGAUUCGCUGGGCGUAAAGGGUGCGUAGGGGGUGGGAAAUCUCGGGGCUCAACUCCGAAAUGGCAUUGGAAACUACCCUGCUAGAGGGUCGGAGGGGGGACUGGAAUUCUCGGUGUAGCAGUGAAAUGCGUAGAUAUCGAGAGGAACACCAGUGGCGAAGGCGAGUCCCUGGACGACUCCUGACACUGAGGCACGAAAGCUAGGGGAGCGAACGGGAUUAGAUACCCCUGUAGUC
rnacentral:rRNA from 1 species